CCGUUAUACGAUUUUGUUGGCGUUCAUUUCAACUCCCCACUCUAGCACCUGGCUGUCGCAAAUAAUGGAGAGUGAGAAGGCGAACGCACUCGAAGACAACUUGGCAAAGGGAAAACGCCCACUCGGAGACGACGGUGGUGGUGGUGACAUACCGGAAUCGGGGGAACGGCCAAAAGGCGAAAAAACAAAGCUACCAAAAUUUUCUACGCUUUCUUCUUUGGAGAAGCUUUAUUAUCAGGAAUAUAUUGACCACCAAGAUUCAAUUACUUCUGACAAUGCGUUGGCUACAUCGACUCGCCAACUAGUGUCCAAGGCUUCAGAUGAUGAUCAUGUCAAAUCUCUUCUUAAUUCAAUCAUAUAUAGGAUGAGGUUGAAAUGGUUCAAGACUGAGCACUUAAUACUAAGGAAGAGAAUUAUGGAUGACAAUAUUCCUCUGGAUAGUCCCCUGGUGAGCAGCUGCCCUCUGGCAUUGCUAGCUAUGUAUUUCACACUUUGGUUAUUUGUGCUUUUUUCCUUCUCUGAUGAUAUUUAACACACUUUGAGUGCUUGUGUAUUUUGUAUUCUCUUUAUGUGUUAUAUUACUCGCUAUUGUGGUCAUGAUUUUCUGUUUUUCCCUCUGUAAUAACCAGAGAUCAUCCAUUGUUCCUUCAAUUUCAAUUCCAGCAGCAUGCCGGUAUGUUCUUUUUCUUUUGUUGGAUCUUUCUUAUCAUUUGCCUAGUCUCUCAUGCUUUGUGCAGUGGCCCUACUUUUCAUGUUUAUCAUGCUCAUGCGGCAUCUUAUUAUUCCCAUUGUUAAGCUGUUUUUUUUUUUUUUUUUUUUUUGUUCCUUCCUUUUCCUUUGAAUAUUGUGGAGAAUCCAUUGGCUUAGAAAGAAGCUUUUACAUUUCACUGUUGUUGCAUCUGUUUUUGAUAUUGUAACUUCUUUUACUCAUUAAUUUUCUUCCGACUUUCUGACUUUAAGCCUCUUUUUUUUUCUUUUUUUUUUUCUUCCUUCUCUCAAAUAACCCAUAAAUCAAUUAUCUUGGUGGGCUUUGGAGUUUAGCAAAAUUGAUAUGAAUCUUCUCAAAGAGGGGGUGUCCGAUGAAGAGCUUUGUCAAGAGUUACAAUUUGCUGUAGAACCGAAGUCAUCUGUGUUGGGUGAGAGUUGUGUGAAUUCAGUAGCUGCACUAUUGAGUCGCUUCCAGGAUAAUUGUAGGAGGCUGAAGGAAUUAGAAGCCACCACUAAGAGCCAAAAAGAGAGGAAGUCAGAGGAUUUUGUUAGAGCCGCAUCAGCAAACACGAAUUUGAACCCUAUUUUGCGAAACCUGAAAUUGACCCCCAGAUUAGUAAUCCUGAGAUCGAUCCCUGGAACAGCGUACUUGGAGGUGACACCCAUGUGACCUGAUAGCAAAAGAUGUCGUUGAUCAUCGAACCUCAUAUAUGUUUUUAUGUUUUUAUAUUUUGAAAUAUUUAGGUAGCUGUAGUUGAUCACAAAGGGCCUUCUAUAGGUAUUUCCAAACAUUCGGAUUAUAACUGUUAACGAUAUGAACGUACUGCAACUAUCAUGGACCUCUCUCUAUUGCAUCUCUAUAGGAAUUUGCGUAUUAUUA